CAAGGCGGCGUGCCGAAUACAUGCAAGUCGACGGACCCUCUAGAGAUUGCUCCCUUAGGUCAGCGGCGGAGGGGUGAGUAACAGGUGGGUAACCUGCCUGUAAGACUGGGAUAUCUCCGGGAAACCGGGGCUAAUACCGGAUGCUUGAUUGAACCUCAUGGUUCAAUCGUAAAAGGGGGCUUUCAGCUACCACUUACAGAUGGGACGCGCGGCGCAUUAUCUAGUUGGUGAGGUAACGGCUCACCGAGGCUACGAUGCGUACCCGACCUGACAGGGUGAUCGGCCACACUGGGACUGAGACCCGGCCCAGACUCCUACGGGAGGCAGCAGUAGGGAAUUUUGCGCAAUGGGACGAAGGUCGGACGGAGCAUCUCCUGUGAGUGAAGAAGGUUUUGGGAUCUGGGACUGUGUUGGUAGGGAAAACAGGUACCGUUCGAAGAGGCUGGUACCUUGACGGGACCUAGCCAGAAAGCCCGCGGCGUAACUACCUGGCCA
rnacentral:rRNA from 1 species